UAAAACACGUACAGGUGCUAUCUUGCCCAAGGAGACAUAAAACACAUCGAGGAUUGUGCGUGGAAACGUUUCAAUCAGCACCAUCGAGCCGAAGUGUCAUCAAUAUUUACAGGAUGGACGAAAGAGAGGAAGAGAUUGCCGAGGAUUACACAAGAGCUUCAUUGGCAUUAGGCAACAGUGACAAUGGCUUCUAAAUCGGGAAACUUGACUUACCUGCGGCAACGGCGAAUCGUCCUCUCGGAUCUGAAUCCCUCCUAUUUGGACGGCAGCGGGUGUCAUCGGCUGGAUUCCAUGCAGAGCGAUUAGAGAGUGUGGAGAGUGUUGUACGUACGUUGCCACACAGUCUUGGGAAAUUCCUGUCUUACAAUGACGUUUGAUACGAAGGCCAAGUUCUCUGGUUGACCGAUUAAUUCACUAUGCCAUGGAUACAUC